rnacentral:sRNA from 1 species
GGCUACGCCGGCUACAUUGAGUUU